UUAGUGCUUGUUGGCACUUCUAUUGUAAUAGCUGAUGGGGUUGUUACCCCAGCAAUGUCAGUUAUGUCUUCUGUUGGUGGUCUGAAGGUUGGAGUUGGUGCAAUUGAACAAAAUGAAGUGUUGAUGAUAUC